rnacentral:rRNA from 1 species
UUUGCCUACGGGAGGCAGCAGUGAGGAAUAUUGGUCAAUGGUCGGGAGACUGAACCAGCCAAGCCGCGUGAGGGAUGAAGGUACAGAGUAUCGUAAACCUCUUUUGUCAGGGAACAAAGGCGGGGACGCGUCCCCGGAUGAGUGUACCUGAAGAAAAAGCAUCGGCUAACUCCGUGCCAGCAGCCGCGGUAAUACGGAGGAUGCGAGCGUUAUCCGGAUUUAUUGGGUUUAAAGGGUGCGUAGGCGGACUGUUAAGUCAGCGGUAAAAGCCCGGGGCUCAACCCCGGCGAGCCGUUGAAACUGGC